rnacentral:rRNA from 1 species
CAGUCGCCACGGGAAUACGUAGGGUGCGAGCGUUAAUCGGAAUUACUGGGCGUAAAGCGUGCGCAGGCGGUUAUAUAAGACAGAUGUGAAAUCCCCGGGCUCAACCUGGGACCUGCAUUUGUGACUGUAUAGCUAGAGUACGGUAGAGGGGGAUGGAAUUCCGCGUGUAACAGUGAAAUGCGUAGCUAUGCGGAGGAACACCGAAGGCGAAGGCAAUCCCCUGGACCUGUACUGACGCUCAUGCACGAAAGCGUGGGGAGCAAACAGGAUUAGAUACCCCCGUAGUCCCUGUCUCUUAUAA